rnacentral:lncRNA from 1 species
AUGAGGUAGGUCUUUUCGGGUACUCGCCCCGUCCCAUCCUUAAUAAGACGGGGUUUAAUUUUAAUAAAUGGGUUUGGGACGGAUUUGAUAAUUUUUUUAAAAACCCGGGCUGGGUUCGGAUACUGUCCCACCCCGCCCCGAUUAUAUAUAAAAUUAAUUUUUAAAUUUAAUUUAAUUUAAAUUUUAAAUUUUAAAAUUAAUUUAAUUUAAUUUUUAUUUUACUAUUUUUAAUAUAUAGAUAAAAUAAAAUAUUUUUAAUAAAAUAAGUUAUUAAAAAUUUAAUUAUUUAAUUAUUUAUUUUAAUAUAAUUAAAAUUUAAAAAAAUAGUUUUAAAAAAAAUUCAAAAAAAAAGUUAAACAAGACAGUAAAUUCUCAUACCUGUCCCGUCCAGUUUAAUUUUUUAAAUGGGACGGAGAUAGGGCGACCCGUCUCGAACCCGCCCCGUUGUUAUCCCUAAUCACUAUAGCAAUUCAUUAAAGUGCUUUGAAAAGUUUUUUUUUAGUGCACCUUAACAUUAGUUUACUUGUGUGUUCGGGUCUAAAUUUACAAACUAGGAAGCUGACUUUGACCGUUUCAUUCUUGUACUUGUGAGAGAAUAUCUUUUAAGUGUGAGGGGUCACUUGAGGACGUUGUUAAGACAUAUUGGAGCCUUGAAUCCAAGUGGAAAAUAAUUGAAGACUUUGGUUGAAGAAAGCCCUAGUACUGGUGAAAGAAUCCUAGGCUUGGGUUAAAGGAAGAGGGAAUGGAGGUAAGUAAUUGCCCAUCUAAAAUUUGUAAAGAAAAGCAACACCUAAUUCACCUCCCUCCCAUUGGGUCCCUACCUAGGAUUGUUUAACUUGACUUCAUAGAUACUUCUAGCCCUUAUAAAUAGGGCUCAUUUCAAAGUUCUCAAGAAGACAAUUCAAAAAUCAAAUAACUAUUAUGAUAAGCAAAAAUUGUGGAUUUGGUCAUUGAAAAAAAUAAAAUAUCAAUUUUCAUUAAGAAACAAAUUGAAGACUACUAAUAUAAUCUUCUAAAUCUCCUUAAAUAUUAUUAUAUUUUUAAUUAAAGAAUAAUAUUUCAAAUGGUUCAUACUAGUCAAAUACGGGGUUCCAAAUCUCCCUAAAUAUUAACUUUAAUUAAGGAAAAAUAUUUAUAAGAGAUUAAAAAUUAUUUGAAUCCAAUAUUUCUAACCCCUAUAAAUAAGCUUAUUCCAAAGCUCUUAAAAAGACAAUUCAAAAAUCAAAUCUUCAAAAGAGGCUUUAAAUCUUCUUUGAAUCUUCAAAGAUUCUUUAAUUUCUUGAAAGUGACUUUGAAUUGUCAAGAUCUUUAAAGUAUUCAAGUUUCAAGCUUCAAGAUUUACAAAAAGACCUUUUUUAUUUGAGAUCAUGCAGUUCAAGCCCAUGGUCAACAUUAUACAAGUUAAGACUUAAGUCAUGCCAAGACCUAAGUCAUGAUAAGGCUUAGGUCAUACAAAGACCCAAAUCAAGUUAAAGCCAAGUUACACUAAGGCUUAAAUCAAGCCAAGACGCAAGUAAAAUAAAAGCCUAAGUCAUACUAAGACCUAAGUCAAAUUAAAGCCCAAGUUAACUCAAGACUCAAAUCACAUCAAGUUAAGGUCCAAGUUAAGUCCUUGUGCCGUCAAAUCUUCAACAAAAUUUCAAUUGGAGAUCAAACUUUUUUAGACCCUUGAUUAACAACUACAAAAGGAAAAAUCAAAAUAUUUGAUAGAGAUUGCACCCACAUCAUCCUUUAAAAUCAAUAUAUUUCAAUUUUACCACCUAAUUUUUCUUAAAGAAAGUUGUGUAUAAUUUUUUGGCAUGCCCACUAGGACCACCUCUUCCUCUCAUCUUUUAUUUUAUAAAAUCAAAUAUCUAAACGAUACAGGGUUUUAAAAAUUCAUCAAGCAACAAAGGAGUAAAAUUUACUUGUCCCACUCCUACCAAAGUUGCUACCUAUGAGUAAAGUUUGUUCUCAUGACCCUAAGAAGAACAAAAACCGGUUCUCAACAUCAAAAAUCCUUUUCAAGGUUAGUUGGAAGUGUUGAAAUGACUUUGCUCAAGAAUCCUAUUAUCCUUGAACCCUUUUAAGGUUAAGGAAGAGCAAUAAGGUUGUAAAAGUACUAUUAUACUCAUUUAUUUUUCGAUAAAUAUCUUCAAACUAUAUGCACUUGUCUGCCCCAAAAGACAAAAAAUAUGAUAUUGGAUCUAUGUCUACAUCUUAUAGAUCCCCACAAAGGACUCUUGUUGAAUAUGAUAUUGGAUUUAUGUAAAAGUUAAAUAAGAAAUGAAACAUAUAAUGGUGGAUCUCAUGGUUUUCUUAUAUGACAACCCCUACAAAUGAUAUUUGUAAAAGUUAAAUUUAUAAAUAAGAAAGAGAAUAAAACAAUUAAGUUUUCAACUCUAAUUAUUUUCAUUUGAUAGAAAUGAAAAAAAAAAAAACAAACAAACAAAUCCUAUGUAAAUAAAAGCUCUUUCCAAUUUUCAAGGUAUCUAAAAUAUUCAAGGAAAUCAAAACCAAGGGAGAUGUAACUAAACAUGAUAAAGACUAAAUAAACCAAAACAAAACUCUGUAAAAUAAUUGGGGAUAAAUAUACUUAUCAAGAUGAUUAGUUGAGGCUUGUAAUGUCAUUAACUUAGAUCUCAAGCCCUUUGAUAUCAUACAACAAUUGAUUGUUAGUGAAGAUUCACUCUUAUCACAAGCAACAACACUCGAAGGUGGCAAUUUUGACAUAAUUUAACAACAUGAUUUGAAAAUAUCAUGAAUUUUAGCAGGUUUGGGUUAGAUAUAUUAUAUUUGUGUUAUAAUUGAGUCAAUUUAUAUAACCCAUUUAAUAAAGAGUCGUGUUUAGGUUUUUAAGUAUUCAAUCCAUCUAACUCGUUUACUUUAAUUGUGUGAAAAUGACUUACCUAUGACCCAACCCAUUAAAAUUUAUUUAUUUUAAAUAUCUGAAAAUUAUAAAAAUUAAAAAUAUUUUUUGGAUUAUAAAUAUCAUGCAAUUAAAAAAUCAAAUAACUAACUAAAGCAAUCGACAUUACAAAAAUAAAAACAUUUAAUAAUUAAAAAAUUAAAUACAAUUAUAAAGAAGCGUAACAUAAAAUUUUAUUUUAUUUUUAAUGUUAUCAACAUAUUAUAAUUAAACUAAUUAAGAUUUAAAAAAUUAAGCUUUAAAAUGUAUUUUGAAAGUAAUUUUUUUUUUUUGUAAUUUUAAAAUAUUAAAGAGAUUAAAUAUGUCAUAAUGGUAUUAGCAAAUUUAACGAAUUAGAAAUUAUAUGAACAGGUUAUUUAGAAUCAUACAAAACCAACCCGACCAAUUUAUUAAAUGGACUACACAGGGUCUAAUUGUAUUAUCCAUGUAACAAAUGAGAAAUCAGUUUGACAUAAUUAUUAAAUGGAUCAUAUUCAGGUUAAGUAAAUUUAUCAUGACUUUAUAAGACCAUUGUGGCCCCGGUAACACCGUUAUCUUGAGCAUACUCCUCCACACUGGGAAUGAAGAGAACCAGAAGCACGACGCCUCUGGGGUUAGUACAUCAAGACUAAUGCAUAGAGACAAACUCCUGUGGAGAAAACUUUCAACGGCAACAGCAAAUCAUAGGGGUGAAUAAAACAAAGCAUCACUUCUCAAGUCAGCAGAUCAGUUCUCCAAAAAGCAGAAGUUGUUUUAAUUUUCUCCUACCAAAGGAUAACUCAAGAACUCAAAUAGAAUACUAGUAUCUCAGCUAGAUGACCAAAUACAAAACUUAGCCUAGUCGACAAGCAAAAUGAUGGCUGAUAUGCAAGAAACUUUUGUAGAAGAGUUCUGUUAUAUUAUGCGCUUCUCCUUCUACUAUGCGUUGAAACACUUAAGACAUUCUUUGUGCAGCCUCCUUGGCUAUGAGUUUCUCCUUGGCUUUUGUCUUAGCCUGAGAUUUGGAUCCCAUGAUGCCACCUCCCCAUCUCUUGCGGUAUUCAUCAUACUUGUCGUUGAAGUUGGCCUGAGAUUAAUUAAUAGAAGCAUAAGAAGUUUUACAGUUAAUGAUUUGCCUCAAUGUUAAAUGAAAUUUUUGAAAAGGGCAACAUCCACACUACUGGACAAGAACUCCAUUAUAAUAAAUUUUAUGCAAGUUAUUAUGCAGUAGAAAUACUAUCAGAAUGAGAGACAAACAGUAUAUCAGCAACCAGCCAAGUCACAGCCAAUGAAAGUGACCCCAUUCAUUUUGGAGCACUAUAAAGUUUCUAUCUUUCCCAGAAAAUUUCAGGUCUAGUUUCCAGAGAAAAAAUAUUAAUUCAACACUUGGAGCCAUGAUUAGAUAUUGUUACCUUAACAGCCUCAACAAUCUUGCUGAAUUCCAACUUAUCCUCAUUCUUCACUGAUGUAAGACACAAAGCCGUGGCUGUUUUCUUGUGAACAAUCUGUGAAAGGUCACGUAAGCAUGAGAUGAGGUCAAACAUCCAAAAUUCCAAAUCCAAAAUUGACCUAAAUAAAUGGAAUGAUUAUACAACAAACAGAAUAAGUGAGCAAGAUUUACCGCUCCAAGACGAGACUUGCCCUUCACAAUUGCGUAAGGGACCUCCAUUUUCCGGCACAAAGCUGGUAGCCAAACAACAAGCUCAAUUGGAUCAACAUCAUGUGCAAUUACCACCAACUGAGCCUUGUUCUACACAGAUAGAAUGGAGUUAAAAGAAAAACUAUGACGUUUAUAAGAAUGAAAUGGACUAACAGUAUCCAGUAUUGGUUGGCAAAGAAGCUUAGAAGUAACAAUAUAUAAGCACAGGGAACCUAUUAAGUUGGUGAAGAAAAAUCUAAUGGAAUUACAAAGUACCAAAAACAACUGAUGACUAUAUGCCAAAAUCAUUUAUUGAAAAAAUGUUGUGACUGGAAAAAAAAUGUAAAGAGAAGAAAAUCUAAAAGCAAAAGUCAAAUGCAAUUUCUUAACACAUCCAAGGAAAAAUACAAAACCAAAAAAUUCAGGAGAAUGCAUUUCUAAUCUGUAGUAAUAAACAUGCUUUUUCUUUUUUUGCAGUAUUAUCCAUGUGACGACCACACCAAGGGCCCAAUUUCCAUUUAAUCAAGAAUACCUGCUCAAUGAGGUAGGUAAUGUGAUUAAGCCCAUAUUUGACAACAAUGGGUUUCUUUGACUCUGCAGUUUUCCCCUCUGCUUCAGCUUGUGCUCUUUUUAGAAGUCUUUCCUUCUUG